GAUGAAGACUGCAAGGUGUUAGCUGAUUCC
rnacentral:piRNA from 1 species